rnacentral:tRNA from 1 species
GGGGUUGUGACUUAGUGGUAGAGCACUCGCCUUGCACGUGCAAGAUCCUGAGUUUGAUCCUCAGCACCACA